rnacentral:rRNA from 1 species
AAUCAACGCUGGCGGCGUGCCUAACACAUGCAAGUCGAACGAGAAAGUGGAGCAAUCCAUGAGUAAAGUGGCGCACGGGUGAGUAACACGUGACUAACCUACCCUUGAGUGGGGGAGUAACCUAGGGAAACCGUGGGCGUAAUACCGCAUAAUACCUACGGGUCAAAGGAGCAAUUCGCUUUAGGAGGGGGUCGGCGGCAGAUUAGUUA